rnacentral:rRNA from 1 species
UACGUAGGGGGCGAGCGUUGUCCGGAUUUAUUGGGCGUAAAGAGCGUGUAGGCGGCCAGGUAGGUCUGCUGUGAAAACUCGAGGCUCAACCUCGAGACGUCGGCGGAAACCAUCUGGCUAGAGUCCGGAAGAGGAGAGUGGAAUUCCUGGUGUAGCGGUGAAAUUCGUAGAUAUUCGCAAGAACACCAGUGGCGAAGGCGGCUCACUGGCCCGAUACUGACGCUGAGGCACGAAAGCGUGGGGAGCAAACAGG